rnacentral:rRNA from 1 species
AGAGUUUGAUCCUGGCUCAGAUUGAACGCUGGCGGCAUGCCUUACACAUGCAAGUCGAACGCGAAAGGGGGCAACCCUGAGUAGAGUGGCGCACGGGUGAGUAAUGCAUCGGAACGUGUCCUGUAAUGGGGGAUAACGCAGCGAAAGCUGUGCUAAUACCGCAUACGUCCUACGGGAGAAAGUGGGGGAUUCGCAAGAAC